rnacentral:rRNA from 1 species
GCACCGUCGUAUGAUGCGAUGGGGGGACGGAUCGCGGAAGGUUGUCCAGCUGUUGGAAUAGCUGGUUUCUGGUUCAUAGAAGGCGCUUAGGCAAAUCCGGGCGCAGGAUUCAAGGGACUGGGACGUGUACCCAUGUGGUGCGAAGCAAUCGGAAGUGGUUCCAAGAAAAGCCUCUAAGCUUCAGUCAUACGAGACCGUACCGCAAACCGACACAGGUGGGCGAGAUGAGUAUUC